rnacentral:tRNA from 1 species
UAUAGUGUGCCUGAUUAAAGGGUAAUUUUGAUAGAAUUAAUAAAGUGUUUAACACACCUCUAUAA